AAGAAGUUUCCGACGUUCAGGUCGAUGCAACUUGUGGCGUUUAGGCCAAUUUUCUGAUGUUCAGAUCGAAGAAGUUUCCGACGUUCAGGUCGAUGCAACUUGUGGCGUUCAGGCCAGUUUUCUGACGUUCAAAUCGAAGAAGUUUCUGACGUUCAGACUUGGACCUCUCUUAAAAGCCCACUAAGAGAAAAUCUCUUAAAAAAAC
rnacentral:lncRNA from 1 species